CAGCAGCCGCGGUAAUACAGAGGGUGCGAGCGUUAAUCGGAUUUACUGGGCGUAAAGCGUGCGUAGGCGGCUAAUUGAGUCGGAUGUGAAAUCCCCGAGCUUAACUUGGGAAUUGCAUUCGAUACUGGUUAGCUAGAGUGUGGGAGAGGAUGGUAGAAUUCCAGGUGUAGCGGUAAAAUGCGUAGAGAUCUGGAGUAAUACCGAUGGCGAAGGCAGCCAUCUGGCCUAACACUGACGCUGAGGUACGAAAGCAUGGGGAGCAAACAGGAUUAGAUACCCGCGUAGUCCCUGUCUCUUAUAC
rnacentral:rRNA from 1 species